rnacentral:rRNA from 1 species
GCCUACAAAUAAAACAAACAAACACACCUGAUCAUGUUUGAUUUUGGAAGAUAACGAGGCUGAGUCCUGGUUAGUACUUGGAUGAAAGAUUACUAGGGAAUACUAGGAAUGUCCAGGCA